rnacentral:rRNA from 1 species
AGUGAACGCUGGCGGUAGGCCUAACACAUGCAAGUCGAACGGCAGCACAGGAGAGCUUGCUCUCUGGGUGGCGAGUGGCGGACGGGUGAGGAAUACAUCGGAAUCUACUUUUUCGUGGGGGAUAACGUAGGGAAACUUACGCUAAUACCGCAUACGACCUACGGGUGAAAGCAGGGGAUCUUCGGACCUCGCGCGAUUGAAUGAGCCGAUGUCGGAUUAGCUAGUUGGCGGGGUAAAGGCCCACCAAGGCGACGAUCCGUAGCGGGUCUGAGAGGAUGAUCAGCCACACUGGAACUGAGACACGGUCCAGACUCCUACGGGAGGCAGCAGUGGGGAAUAUUGGGCAAUGGGCGCAAGCCUGAUCCAGCCAUACCGCGUGGGUGAAGAAGGCCUUCGGGUUGUAAAGCCCUUUUGUUGGGAAAGAAAUCCAGCUGGUUAAUACCCGGUUGGGAUGACGGUACCCAAAGAAUAAGCACCGGCUAACUUCGUGCCAGCCGCCGCCGUAA